AAAGAAGGAUUAUUCUGGGAGCUUUUUUAUCUGAGUUGGUCCUGACAUAUCCUUAUUGUCCAGAGGCCAAACAAAGUACAGGUACAAAACUUCGUACACCGAUAUUUUUCAACAGAUUUAAAUUAUUUGACAUAACCCUACAAUUCUUAUUUUAUUUUUUUUUAAUUUUUUUCUCAGAUUAGGACAAGAUACGCUAUCUUUAUGAUAAGUUCAUGAUGUUUAUCCUCACAUAAUCUCUGAAAAUAGUUCUUAAUGGUGAUGAUUAAAAUAAACAAAAUAGAUGAGUCAGAAGUAUGAUGAUCAUGAGUAUGCUCUUCAAAAUACAUUGGUAACAAAGUGGUUUUGUGGUCGAUGAUGACAAAAAUAAAUUAUAUUUGGCAACAACUAGGGAUACAUCCAAUAGAAGUAUCAAAAGGACAUUAGUCCACCCAGACAUGAGAAUGCAUAUUUCACUAUUUUGAACUCCUACCGCAGCCCACUGUCCUGCAUACUGAACCAUCAACCAACAGUUCAUAGAAUGCAUAUUUUUCACAAUUAUGAUGAGUGUUUGGGAACAUGUUUUCUACUGUUUGCAGUGUUCAGUUAUUUGAAUAGUACUAUUUGUUUCAGUAUUCUUAUUUGUGUAUUUGAUUGUGUUUUAAUCUGCUUUCAGACAGCUGACGAAGAGAAAGCUUUGUGUGAGCAGGGCAACAGUGUUCGAACUGCAAAAGAUAGUGUUCCUGUAGCAUCUGACGUGGACAGAGCUGCAAAGCAUUACAGAAGCAAAUGGAAGGUACUUAUCCUUUGUUGUUGUUUAUGAGCACAUGUCUUUGUGUCUCCUGCGGAUUCCUGAUUGUUGAUUUUAUUUGGUGGUGGAGGCAAGGAAUUAGGGCAUUCAGCAGGACUAUCAGCAGAACAUAUAAAGCAGCAGAACAUAUAAAGCAGCAGAACUAUCAGCAGGACUAUAGUCAGCACGACUAUCAGCAGGACUAUCAGCGUGACUAUCAGCAGGACUAUCAGCAGGACUAUCAGCGUGACUAUCAGCAGGACUAUCAGCGUGAAAUUGUUUUACGUGACUAUCAGCAGGACAUAUAAAGCAGCGUGACUACCAGCAGGCGCCCAUCUUUGAAGCAACUGACUACCAGCAGGACAUAUAAAUAUGUACUAAUAAAUUAACGCUGCUACGACCAUAUAUUUUGUACUUCUUUUUUGGGUCUGUAAUAUAUAGAUUUACUAUACCACAUAUAUUGAAGGCAAAUUCCAUCAGGCAAAAACAAAGGAGCUAUUGUCUAUAUUCCAAAAAAAUUU
rnacentral:lncRNA from 1 species